UACCUACUCCCUCCGUUCGGAAUUACUUGUCGUAGAAAUGGAUGUAUCUAGAUGUAUUUUAGUUCUAGAUACAUCCAUUUUCGAGACAAGUAAUUCCGAACGGAGGGAGUACAUA
rnacentral:pre_miRNA from 1 species